GCAGGAAGGCCAGCUUGGCGGCGACAGGACGCGGGCAGGCGGGCCAGCAGAAGAGCCAGCACAGCUCGCCCACCGAGAAGCCGUUCAUUCACUGCAGGGAAUCAUCUGGCAGGCAGCCUGAGGAAGAGGAUGAACAGCCCUGGAAGCCAGCAGAUCUGAGAGGGCUGCUCCAGCUCCUAACUCACCCACAUGGAGAAUUGCUUCCCUGAGAAGGGACAUUCUGAGAUGCUGGGAGACUUCAGUGACUAUGUGAGUCAAUCUGUGAAUGACAGAAGGAUUUUUUCAACAGAUCCUCUGGAAACACCCAACCUCUCAGUCUAGUCUCCAGUCAGGGCCAUCAGAAUAAACACUGAAACUGUGUCUCUUAGAAUCUCUUUUCAGUGUGAUAGUCUGAAUAGAAAAUAAAGAAACACAUCUCUCCUC